ensembl:snoRNA LOC120102746 small nucleolar RNA U13
AUCUUUUUUUAGUUCAUAAGCAAGAUAAUUAAUUAUUCAUAUCACUGUGUGAUACAUACCACCCUCAAACCUUGUUAUGAAGUUGGGUACAUUACCUGUUUGACA